rnacentral:tRNA from 1 species
GCCUGGGUGGCUCAAUUGGUUGAGCAACUGAUUUGGGCUCAGGUCCUGAUCUUGCGGUUUGUGAGUUCAAGCCCCGCAUCUGGCU